rnacentral:rRNA from 1 species
UACGUAGGGGGCAAGCGUUGUCCGGAUUUAUUGGGCGUAAAGAGCGUGUAGGCGGCCAGGUAGGUCAGCUGUGAAAACUCGAGGCUCAACCUCGAGACGCCGGUUGAAACCAUCUGGCUAGAGUCCGGAAGAGGAGAGUGGAAUUCCUGGUGUAGCGGUGAAAUGCGCAGAUAUCAGGAAGAACACCCGUGGCGAAGGCGGCUCUCUAGUCCGGUACUGACGCUGAGACGCGAAAGCGUGGGGAGCGAACAGG